GGAUGGAUGAUAAGGCCAGGGAGAAUGUGAAAAGUGCUGAGAACAGAAACUUAAGAACAACAGCAAUUUAGGAAGUGGGCAGAGAUGUAGACUCAAAGUAGACUGGGAAGAAAUGACCAGAGAGAUCUGGACAUGUUCUUAGUCCUUGAGGAAGGCGUCUACGGAGAAAGAAAGGUUGAACAAGAAGUAAAGCAAGGGCAGAGUCUCGGAAAAAAUAGAAGGUGGCUGAGAGCCAGAGCGCUGGUGGGGACUUACAUCUGGAGACAGGAGAAAAUAGGUGACAAGCUCCAUGAGGAUAGGAACUAUGUUUUUGUUCCUGACUGUAUGCUGAUGUCUAACACAGCACCUGCUAUAUGGUGAGGAAGCAGAAGCUUAGAGAGCGAACCUGGACUUCCGCUCCUGGGUAGGACAGAGAGAGUUGCAACAGACCACCACCACUACCACUGCAAUAACACAGUAACAAGAAGAAAACUGGGUAAGUUGUCAGAGUCAUGUACUGAAACAAUGGAGACCAGUGGAAGCACUGAGCAGGAGGCGAACUAAACUAGAGAAGGAGCCUUUCCUAGGCCAGCUGAUCCACACUCAUUUUCUUCCCUGGGGGCAUUUGCCUAUUCUGAGCAUGGGUGUGGACUUGACCUGAGCAGAGCAGACUCCACAGAGGGAAAGAAAAACCACAGAGGUUGUGGCCAUCUUGAGGGGCUGCUAUGACAGAUGAGAAACCACAAAGGCCAGGCUGGUUUUCCCCAUGGGACGUUGGCUGAGCUCUGGAGAAGCUGAUAAGAGGGCUCAAUAAGCCGGGAGCUAAAUCUGGGACUGAUUUGCCUGCAUCACAGGCCAGUUUUGUUUUGAGUUUCUUUUCUGGGGCCCGUGGGGCCCAAAGGAUCCUUUGCACUUCUUCCCUUUGGCAUCUGUAUUCCUCUGCACCAAUCCUGUCUAGAUUUUCUGCGACAGGUAGUUUUUCGGAGACAUUGGCGCCCCCUGCUGUCAGAGAGCAGCUCUGCAAGGACUUGGAGCCUGCCCUUAGCAUCUUCUGUCCUGAUAACCAUUCUCCCAAGAAUCAGGGGUUUAACCUCGAUGAUCAUUUCCAAAGUCUGAGAUUUUGUCUCACUGGUCUCCCUUGAGUGCUGACUGUCUAGACUGGUAGAUGCCUGUGGCUGUCACUUCCUCGUCUGUAAAACAGAGUCAACGGUGACCACUUCCCAGGUUGGUUGUGUAUUAAGGAAGGCACUGGAUAAAGUUCUUAACGUUGUCUGGUAUACAAUUAGUGCCUGGUAAACAGUAAUAAUAGCAGUGGUGUUUGCUAAGCCUGCCUUAGGUUCUUCUCAAAGCUCCUCAAAGCACGCAGCCCCAGCUGUCACUCUCAGUGGUGGUGAGAGCUGCUCUGACUCUGGAUGUUCCGGGACGUUCAGAUGUUCUCAGCCCUCCUCACAGUAGGACACCAAGGACCUGGAGGCUGGUGCCCAAAACCAGGAACAGGAAGGCCUGAGCUGCGGCAAGUUUCUCCGCUCUCAAGUUCCCGUGUACCAGUACCCCUCACAGCGUGGAUCUCACGGAGGUGUCUCUCCUGCCAACAAAGAAGACUUCGCAUCACUCUUCAUUUUGAAAGCGCACACCGUCCCUUCGGCACCCAUCUCCGUUCCCUAGAUCUUGGCACCACCUCCCCCGAGGCCCCGCCCCUGACCCGCCCGCUCCCAGGGUGCUUUGCGUCAGCUCUGGUCGAGCGGACGAGUGGACGCAGCUGGCUGCGAAAUCGCGGGACUUGUUUUUCUGGAUCUCACCGGGCCCACGACCCAGGGACAGGGACACAGCCGGCAGAGGCGGUCAGAAUCUGAGGUAUUCCAGAUAACCUGGGAACUGCCGGGCAGCCCCCUGCUGACUCUGAGCCACUCUUUAUUUUCUGCCUUCUCAGCAUUUUGACGCUAUGACUUUUAAAUUUCUGCCUGCUCACACAUUGCCGCAUAUAUGGACUUAGGUUUGGGCCUUGUGAUUUUGUUGAGUUCUAGAGUUGCCAGAUACAAGAUAUGUAGUUAAAUUUAAAUUUCAGACAGAGAAGGAAUCCUUUUUUUAAAGUUUAAGUAUGUCCCACAUAUUGCACAGGAAAUACACUAACAAAAGUUUACUUGGGCUUCCCUGGUGGCGCAGUGGUUGAGAGUCCGC